ACUGAAACAAGCAACGUGCUAUGAUGAUGCUGGCUGUGUUUGCCAUUCACAACAAGUCAGGUGGCACUGGGAGAUGACCACACCGUCGCUGUGUCAGCCUGUGAAACACACACCGGGCAUGCAGCCAGCUCUGAUGGGAUGUACACAAGAGGAGAAGAAAACCCGCUGCUGACUAAUCCUCGGGGAGCUAAAUGAAACAGGCUGAGAUCAAACCAGCUGCAAAUCCAGCUGUGGCCUGGAGAUGUUACCUGAGGUGUACAGAAGGACGGUGAAAUGAGCGGUGCAUGUGCAUCAGCACUAAGAGUUGGAAGCUGCGUGUCAUUUAGGUAGUAGUUGGUAGCCUGCAGCAGUUAACUGCCUGAUUGUGGAUGCUGUCUCGUACCUCAUUUCUUCAUAUCGCCGGUCCCUUCGUUCUGAAGGUGUCGGGUUUCUGUUCAUCGCUGUGAGCAGGCAAGUAAGACAGGAAGCAGAGGGAGGGAGAUAUCAGACAGGGAUGACUAACUGCUCAUUGGUACUAACAGGACACUUUCACGUGUGAGCCAACCUGUUUGUCACAGUGGCGCAAAACUGCAAUGACAAGAUGUUCAGCACGUUUAACGGUGGGAUCUCACUGGAGCAGACAAAAAUAAUUAAGAAAUGAGAAAAAGACUUACCAAAGGGAGCCUGCUGAGAUGUUUCAUGCUGCUGUAGCCUGGUUUGUAAUAUAGUCAUCGUAGAAAAACAAAUGAAAUAAUUAAAAGCACACUCUUUGGCAGUUUUUUUGUUAUAUCUUUAUUGAA